CCUACGGGUGGCAGCAGUGAGGAAUAUUGGUCAAUGGACGAGAGCCUGAACCAGCCAAGUAGCGUGAAGGAUGACGGCCCUAUGGGUUGUAAACUUCUUUUAUAUGGGAGUAAAAUGUUCCACGUGUGGGAUUUUGUAUAUGCCAUAUGAAUAAGGAUCGGCUAACCCCGUGCCAGCAGCCGCGGUAAUACCGAGGCUUCGAGCGUUAUCCGGAUUUAUUUGGUUUAAAGGGAGCGUAGGUGGUUUGUUAAGUCAGUUGUGAAAGUUUGCGGCUCAACCGUAAAAGUGCAGUUGAAACUGGCAGUCUUGAGUACAGGAGAGGUAGGCGGAAUUCGAGGUGUAGCGGUGAAAUGCUUAGAUAGCACGAAGAACUCCGAUUGCGAAGGCAGUUCACUGGACUGCAACUGACACUGAGGCUCGAAAGUGUGGGUAUCAAACAGGAUUAGAUACCCCAGUAGUC
rnacentral:rRNA from 1 species